GGUGUAUUUUAAGUGCUUAUCUUAUGCUGGAAACUGUGCUAGGACAAUUAUGGAGGGUACAACCUGUGUGAAAGAAAUAGUCACUCUUCAGCAACUGAAUGGAAACCAGGUCGAAAGCCCGGGACAUGAAAGCUCCCUCCAAGACUACUUUCCCUGCCUAACUACACUGAGGAUCUUUGGACCAGGAAUGUUUUUCUGAAAACAGUGAAUUAUUUUCUUUUCUGAAAAAUAUACUCAUUAUCCAGUGGA